rnacentral:rRNA from 1 species
GACGAACGCUGGCGGCGUGCUUAACACAUGCAAGUCGAACGGUGAAGCGCCUUCCUUUUUGGUGGGAGUGGAUGAGUGGCGAACGGGUGAGUAACACGUGAGUAACCUGCCCCCUUCUUCUGGAUAACCGCAUGAAAGUGUGGCUAAUACGGGAUAUUCUGGGUCUGUCGCAUGAUGGGUCUGGGAAAGAUAUUGUUUCGGUGGGGGAUGGGCUCGCGGCCUAUCAGCUUGUUGGUGGGGUGAUGGCCUACCAAGGCGGUGACGGGUAGCCGGCCUGAGAGGGUGGACGGUCACACUGGGACUGAGACACGGCCCAGACUCCUACGGGAGGCAGCAGUGGGGAAUAUUGCACAAUGGGCGCAAGCCUGAUGCAGCGACGCCGCGUGAGGGAUGGAGGCCUUCGGGUUGUGAACCUCUUUCGCCAGUGAAGCAGGCCUGCCUCGUUUGUGGGUGGGUUGACGGUAGCUGGAUAAGAAGCGCCGGCUAACUACGUG